rnacentral:rRNA from 1 species
GACGAACGCUGGCGGCGUGCUUAACACAUACAAGUCGAACGGUAAGGCCCUUCGGGGUACACGAGUGGCGAACGGGUGAGUAACACGUGGGUGAUCUGCCCUGCACUUCGGGAUAAGCCUGGGAAACUGGGUCUAAUACCGGAUAGGACUCCGGACUGCAUGGUCUGGGGUGGAAAGCUUUUGCGGUGUGGGAUGGGCCCGCGGCCUAUCAGCUUGUUGGUGGGGUGAUGGCCUACCAAGGCGACGACGGGUAGCCGGCCUGAGAGGGUGACCGGCCACACGGGGACUGAGAUACGGCCCAGACUCCUACGGGAGGCAGCAGUGGGGAAUAUUGCACAAUGGGCGCAAGCCUGAUGCAGCGACGCCGCGUGAGGGAUGACGGCCUUCGGGUUGUAAACCUCUUUCAGCAUCGACGAAGCGAAAGUGACGGUAGGUGCAGAAGAAGGACCGGCCAACUACGUGCCAGCAGCCGCAGUAA